rnacentral:rRNA from 1 species
UACGGAGGGGGCUAGCGUUGUUCGGAAUUACUGGGCGUAGAGCGCACGCAGGCGGUCUGCUAAGUUUGGAGUGACAGUUGGUGGCUUAACUGCCAAAGUGCUUCGAAAACUGACAGACUUGAGGGCUUCAGAGGGACACGGAAUUCCGGGUGGAGUGGUGAAAUGCGUAGAGAUCCGGAGGAACACCAAAGGCGAAGGCAGUGUCCUGGGGAGUACCUGACGCUCAGGUGCGAAAGCCAGGGGAGCGAACGGG